GGAAAAGUGAAAGUAACAGACGGCACGCCUGACCUUCCAACGAAAAAAUUCUAGUAGCUUAAAGAAACUCUUUUUUUAUUUUCAAACAGAUGCGAUGCAAAUCAAACAGCGUUCGUGAUGUGGCUGGCCUUGAACACUACCUGCAACAACGUGACAAUGGCAGGAGCCCAACCCAGUCAAGAAGAAACGAGUUGCUUUUUUUGUGUGUUAAAACUUGCAAGCGAAAGUCAUUUCCUCACGUUCCCACCGUCGAUGCUCAACAACCACCAACCUCGCUCCAAGAAAAACAUCAUCUGACGACGGCGAGGUCAAAGUAAAAUGGAGAAAAGUAAAAAA